rnacentral:rRNA from 1 species
AGGAUCAUUAUUGAAGUAAACCUGAUAAGUUGUUGCUGGUUCUCUAGGGAGCAUGUGCACACUUGUCAUCUUUGUAUCUUCACCUGUGCACCUUUUGUAGACCUGAGUAUCUCUCUGAGUGCUUAGCAGUAUUCAGGAUUUGAGGAAUGACUUUUUUUUGUCUUCCUUAUAUUUUCAGGUCUAUGUUUCUUCAUAUACUCUAAUGUAUGUUAAAGAAUGUAAUCAAUGGGCUUUUUGUGCCUAUUAAUUUAUACAACUUUCAGCAACGGAUCUCUUGGCUCUCGCAUCGAUGAAGAACGCAGCGAAAUGCGAUAAGUAAUGUGAAUUGCAGAAUUCAGUGAAUCAUCGAAUCUUUGAACGCACCUUGCGCUCCUUGGUAUUCCGAGGAGCAUGCCUGUUUGAGUGUCAUUAAUAUAUCAACCUUUCUUGGUUGGAUGUGGGUUUGCUGGUCUCUUGAGGUCAGCUCCCCUUAAAUGCAUUAGCGGACAACAUAUUGCCAACUGUUCAUUGGUGUGAUAAUUAUCUACGCUAUUGACAUGAAGCAAGGUUCAGCUUCUAACAGUCCAUUUGACUUGGACAAGUUUAUCUUAUUAAUGUGGCCUCAAAUCAGGUAGGACUACCCGCUGAACUUAA